rnacentral:misc_RNA from 1 species
GUGAAGAACGUAGUGAAAUGCGAUAAGUAAUGUGAAUUGCAGAAUUCAGUGAAUCAUCGAAUCUUUGAACGCACCUUGCGCGCUUUGGCCAUUCCGAAGGGCAUGCCUGUUUGAGUAUCAUGAACACCUCAACUCUUCAUGGUUUUCCGUGAUGAGCUUGGACUUUGGGGGUCUUGCUGGCCUAUGGUCAGCUCCUCUAAAAUAAAUCAGCUUGCCAGUGUUUGGUGGGUAUCACAGGUGUGAUAACUAUCUACGCUUGUGGUUUUCCACCAGGUAACCUUCAGCAGUGGAGGUUCGCUGGAGCUCACAGAUGUGUCUCUCCUCAGUGAGGACAGCUCUUUGAAUGUUUGAUCUCAAAUCAGGUAGGACUACCCGCUGAACUUAAGCAUAUCAAUAAGCGGAGGA